GACAGGCUGUUCAAGUCAACUCUAUGAAAAAGUCAUAUGUGGAGUCAAAGCCUUUCCUUAUUCUGGCGAUGAAAAGAUUUUCCAACUGUCGCAGCGGCAUGUCCAGGAACAGGGAAACGAACAACGCCAUUGAAAACGAUAUUAACAGCAAUCCGCUAAACAAGUAAAGCUGAACAAAACAAAAUGAUGAAGGGAGAGGUAGUAGCCUUACCUGUAGAUUUUGUGAAGAAGGAGCAUCAAGAGGCUUAUUUUUCUUUCUGAUUCAUAUGUUGGUUUCAAAAUGACGUACGCUGUCAGGAAUCCACUGCAGAAAAAUGAAAUUUUAAAGCAUAGAUAAUGAUUUAUUAUUUAUCCAAAAUGUAUCUCAGAACAAAAACCAUAUUUACAUAAACUGUGGCGACGAGUUUGUGGUGUGAGACCUUUCUUGUUUUAAGAAUAAUUAAUAUAUGUUCAUAAUAUAGUUUGUUCAGUAAAAGCAUUCUUGCAGUGAUUAC